GCGAAACCCUGAUGCAGCAAUGCCGCGUGAGUGAAGAAAGCCCUAGGGUCGUAAAGCUCUUUUAUUGGGGAAGAAAAUGACCGGGCCCGUAGAAUAAACACCGGGUUACUAUUUUCCCACAACCGCCGGUAUACAUAGGGGGCCAGCGCUGUUCCGAAUUACUGGGCGUAAAGGGCGCUCAAGCGGGUUAGUAAAUUGGAGGUGAAAGCCCCGGGCUUAACCCCGGAAGGUAUUUCCAAACUUCUAAUCUUUAAAGGGUUAGGAGCCAGCCGAAUUUCUUGUGGUAAAGGGAAAUUGCUUUAUUUUUGGAGGAA
rnacentral:rRNA from 1 species